AUACGGAGGGUGCAAGCGUUAUCCGGAUUUACUGGGUUUAAAGGGUACGCAGGCGGUAAUUUAAGUCAGUGGUGAAAGCCUACAGCUCAACUGUAGAACUGCCAUUGAAACUGAAUUACUUGAGUAUGGUAGAGGUAGGCGGAAUACAACAGGUAGCGGUGAAAUGCAUAGAUAUGUUGUAGAACACCGAUUGCGAAGGCAGCUUACUAAACCAUUACUGACGCUCAUGUACGAAAGCGUGGGGAGCGAACAGGAUUAGAUACCCUAGUAGUCC
rnacentral:rRNA from 1 species